UGGGGAAUAUUUCACAAUGGGGGAAACCCUGAUGCAGCGACGCCGCGUGAGCGAUGAAGUAUUUCGGUAUGUAAAGCUCUAUCAGCAGGGAAGAUAAUGACGGUACCUGACUAAGAAGCUCCGGCUAAAUACGUGCCAGCAGCCGCGGUAAUACGUAUGGAGCAAGCGUUAUCCGGAUUUACUGGGUGUAAAGGGAGCGUAGGCGGUCCUGCAAGUCUGAUGUGAAAACCCGGGGCUCAACCCCGGGACUGCAUUGGAAACUGUAGGACUAGAGUGUCGGAGGGGUAAGUGGAAUUCCUAGUGUAGCGGUGAAAUGCGUAGAUAUUAGGAGGAACACCAGUGGCGAAGGCGGCUUACUGGACGACCACUGACGCUGAGGCUCGAAAGCGUGGGGAGCAAACAGG
rnacentral:rRNA from 1 species